ACUUUCCCCUUUUCUUUUUUUAACGCAAGCUCUCUCGCUCCUCUCCCUUUCUCUCGGUCUCCUCUCUCUCACUCCCUCAACCAAAUUCUUGCUACUCCACCAUCAAUCCUUGAAAACCCACGCACAUCUUCAUCCUCGGCCCUCGGAUCGCGCGUGGGAAGAGCUCGGUGGAGGCAUAUUUCGGAUUUGGAGGCUAGGGUUUGGUUUGAGCUCAAAGCUUCGUCUUGAUACUUGAGGUACUCACCAUGGCACUUAGCUUGGAUUGCAUGGAGUGCACAUUGAGACGUCUCUUGAGAGCUUCAUUGGAAUUAUUAAGGAGUUGUUUAUCAUCUAGUCUAAUUCAUGUUGUGUACUUCACCUGCAAUUGAAUGUAGUAUCUUUUGGUUUGAAUAUAUGUAAAGCUAUGUAUAAACUCAUCUCUUUGAUUAUUGUGAAGCCCUUUUAAUGGAAGA